rnacentral:rRNA from 1 species
UAAAAAUUAUUAUUAAAAUUUAAAUAAAAUAUUAUUAAUUUUAUUAUUGUUAAAGAAAAAUUUAUUAUUAUUAUAGUUGAGUAGUAUUGUGAAAGAAUUUUUAAAUAUUUGAAAAUUAAAAUUUUUAGAAGAAAAAAAAAUUUUUGUACCUUGUGUAUCAGGGUUUAUUAAAAAUAAAUUUUUGAUAAAGUUUUCCCGAUUUUGAAAGAGUUAAAAAAUUAUUAAUUUUAUUGUAAAAUAAAUAUUUAAAAUAUUUUUUUAGAAAUGAAAUGUUAUACGUUUUCAAAUUUAUCUGGUUUUUGAAGAAAAAAAUUCAAUUUUUUUUAUUAAUAUUAAAAUUAUUUAUUUUUAAGUAAUUUUUAUUUAAUAAUUUAUAUUAUAAGGGAUAAGCUUUAUAGUAUAUAAUUAAAAUUUUAAUUUUAUAUAAAAAUGUAGGUUUAGAAAUUAUCAUCAUUUAAUUUGUUAUAAUUAAUUUAUUUAAUUAUAUAAUUUAUUAAUAUUUAAUUAUUUUAUUCAAUUUAAUUGAUUAAUUUUUUAUUAGUUAAAAUAAUGAUAAAAUUAGUAUAAUUUAUUUUAAUAAUAAUUUUUAAGGUUAGAUAAAAUAAAGGAAUUCGACAAAUAAAUUUUUCGCCUGUUUAUUAAAAACAUGUCUUUUUGAUUAUAAUAAAAAGUCUAACCUGCCCAUUGAAUAUUUAAAAGGCCGCGGUAUUUUGACCGUGCGAAGGUAGCAUAAUAAUUAGUUUUUUAAUUGAAAGCUGGAAUGAAUGGUUGAACGAGAAAAUAAUUGUCUCUAUUUUAAUUUAUUAGAAUUUUAUUUUUAAGUUAAAAAGCUUAGAUAUAUUUAAAAGACGAGAAGACCCUAUAGAGUUUUAUAUUAUUUAAUAUUUAAAUUUUAAAGAAUUAUUUAUUUUAUAUAUUAAAUUAUAUUUUAUUGGGGUGAUAGAAAAAUUUUAUUAACUUUUUUUAAAAAUUAACAUUAAUUUAUGAUUUAUUGAUCCAUUAUUUAUGAUUAUAAGAUUAAAUUACCUUAGGGAUAACAGCGUAAUUUCUUUAAAGAGUUCAAAUCGAAAAAGAAGAUUGCGACCUCGAUGUUGGAUUAAAAUAAAUAUUUGGUGUAGGAGCUAAAUUAAUUAGGUCUGUUCGACCUUUAAAAUUUUACAUGAUCUGAGUUUAAACCGGCGUGAGCCAGGUUGGUUUCUAUCUUUAAAAUAUUUAAUUAUUUUAGUACGAAAGGACCAAAUAAU